GAUGAACGCUGGCGGCGUGCUUAACACAUGCAAGUCGAUCGGUAACGCGGGGGCAACCCUGGCGACGAGAGGCGGACGGGUGAGGAACGCUUGGGAAUCUGCCCUUCAGCGGGGGACAACACGGGGAAACUCGUGCUAAUACCGCAUACGCUCCACGGAGGAAAGCCGGGGACCGCAAGGCCUGGCACUGAAGGAUGAGCCCAAGUCGGAUUAGCUAGUUGGCGGGGUAACGGCCCACCAAGGCGACGAUCCGUAGCUGGUCUGGGAGGACGGUCAGGCACACGUGGACGGAGACACGGCCCGGACUCCUACGGGAGGCAGCAGUGGGGAAUAUUGGACGAUGGGGGAAACCCUGAUCCAGCGACGCCGCGUGGGUGAAGAAGGCCUGCGGGUUGUAAAGCCCUUUCGGUAGGGACGAAAGCUCUCGACCUAACACGUCGGGAGGUUGACUUAACCUACAAAAGAAGCACCGGCUAACUCUGUGCCAGCCGCCGCCGUAAUAC
rnacentral:rRNA from 1 species